CUGCGAAUAUUCUCGCUGUUCUGAUUUUGUAAUAAUCAGGGCAGGCUAAACAUUCGCUAUAUUAAGACCAUGCAUGUGUCCCCAGACCUAGUUCUUUUCCUAGGUCUGGUUUUAUAAAUGCUGGUGAUAAAC
ensembl:snoRNA SNORA72 Small nucleolar RNA SNORA72